AGCAGCCGCGGUAAUUCCAGCUCCAAUAGCGUAUAUUAAAGUUGCUGCAGUUAAAAACUACGUAGUUGAAUUUCGGGAUCAUCAUGUCGGUCGUGCCUCGGUACGUACUGGCAUUGUUGGUUUCUACCUUCUGACGAACCAUGAUGUCAUUUAUUUGGUGUCGUGGGAAAUCAGGACUGUUACUUUGAAAAAUUAGAGUGUUUAAAGCAGGCUCACGCUUGAAUACAUUAGCAUGGAAUAAUGAAAUAGGACGUUUGAUUCUAUUUUGUUGGUUUCUAGGAUCGACGUAAUGAUUAAUAGGGAUAGUUGGGGGCAGUUAGUAUUCAAUUGUUAGAGGUGAAAUUCUUGGAUUUUAUUGAAGUACUAACUACUGCGAAAGCAUUUGCCAAGGAUGUUU
rnacentral:rRNA from 1 species